CUAGAGAGUGUGUCCCAGCGUGGUGAAGGAUUUGUGCCAGAAGGCUGAGGGGUCCGCACUGGAGUCAGGAAAUGACCCUCAAGACAAAGGCAAAGACCAGUGCUCCCUUGAAGAGAACAGCAGCAACCCCUGGUGACAGGGAGGACUGGAGCCCCUCCACCAAUGAGAACAGAGGAGAUCAUAUCAGCGUGCAGCUCACCAAGGCCACGUGGAGCAAAAGCUGAGGAAAUGGGAACUGCUAAGCAAAAAGCUCUUAAAUGUUAUAAAUCUUCAUUGGAGGAGAUUUGAGUAGCAGUGACUGAAAGUUGGAACAAAGAGAGUUUGCAGAUCACAAGUCAGAGC
rnacentral:lncRNA from 1 species